rnacentral:rRNA from 1 species
UACGUAGGGACCAAGCGUUGUUCGGAUUUACUGGGCGUAAAGGGCGCGUAGGCGGCGUGGUAAGUCACUUGUGAAAUCUCUGAGCUUAACUCAGAACUGCCAAGUGAUACUGCUGUGCUCGAGUGUGGAAGGGGCAAUCGGAAUUCUUGGUGUAGCGGUGAAAUGCGUAGAUAUCAAGAGGAACACCUGGGGUGAAGACGGGUUGCUGGGCCAACACUGACGCUGAGGCGCGAAAGCUAGGGGAGCAAACAGG